UUAUAUAUNNGGGGGAAGAAAAAGCAUACGAGGAUUCCCGUAGUAACGGCGAGUGAACUGGGAAUAGUCCAGCGCUGAAUCGCGGUCCCUCUGGGGCUGUGAGGUGUAGCGUACAGACCGUGAGCUUGGGUUGGCCUGCCCGUUCAAGUUUCCCUUGACCGGGGCUCCAGAGAAGGUGCAAGACCUGUCCAACGGGUGGUUGCCUACCCAUCUUCGCGUGUCUUGGAGUCGGGUUGUUUGGGAUCGCAGCCCAAAGCAGGUGGUAAACUUCAUCUAAGACUGAAUACGGCCACGAGUCCGAUAGCGAACAAGUACCGUGAGGGAAAGUUGCAAAGCACUUUGAAGAGAGAGUUAAAGAGGACGUGAAACCGAUGAGGUGGAAACGGACAGAGCUGGCGUAUCUGGUCUGCAUUCAUCCGUGUGCUCUUGGGCGUUUGGGUGCCACUCUCCAGACUGGGAUGGUGUUCAUUCUGUUCAGGGGCGCAUGGGGCAUUUGCAGGCGGAGUGCGCUGAGACGCUCGGGGCAGCUGUAUGAGCUUGGCUUUGAGGCCAGCCCUUCGGGGUCUGGUACCCGGGCCGGGGGAGUGCUGUUUGCUUUGGGUGAUGUGCUGGUGCAAUGGUUACGGGCCCGUGUUGGUUUGAGCUGGCGGUCGGUGGCGGUCGCGUGCGACACGUACCAGCAGUCAGUUCGGUCCUGCUCGGGCUCUCAUUGCAUGUUCUCGGUGUAAAAGCCGGUCAUCUGUCCGACCCGUCUUGAAACACGGACCAAGGAGUUUAGCGUGUGCGCGAGUCAUUGGGUGUUGAAAACCCAAAGGCGUAAUGAAAGUGAAGUCUCCUUGCGGAGCUGAUGUGUGAUCCUGUGCACCUCGGUGUGCGGGCGCAACAUAGUCCCGUCCCGAUCGCAUGCGAUGGGGCGGAGACAGAGCGUACGCGCUGAGACCCGAAAGAUGGUGAACUAUUCCUGAGCAGGACGAAGCCAGAGGAAACUCUGGUGGAAGUCCGAAGCGAUUCUGACGUGCAAAUCGAUCGUCUGACUUGGGUAUAGGGGCGAAAGACUAAUCGAACCAUCUAGUACGGGGGUUUCUCUUCCGA
rnacentral:rRNA from 1 species